ensembl:misc_RNA
ACAAGCUAAGAGAUACAAAGGGAAAAGUGUGACUGCUCUGACAGCAAAAACAAGCAAGUAUCUCCAGAGGGGAUUAAUCCUUCUGCUUCAAAGUAACUAAAACAAAGAAAGCUGAGCCAGCUUCACUGGAAACAACACCUGUCCAUCAGACAAGGAUGAGCUAAU